rnacentral:rRNA from 1 species
AACGAACGCUGGCGGCAUGCCUAACACAUGCAAGUCGAACGAACCCUUCGGGGUUAGUGGCGCACGGGUGCGUAACGCGUGGGAAUCUGCCCUUUGCUUCGGAAUAACUCAGGGAAACUUGUGCUAAUACCGGAUGAUGUCUUCGGACCAAAGAUUUAUCGGCAAGGGAUGAGCCCGAGUAGGAUUAGGUAGUUGGUGGGGUAAAGGCCUACCAAGCCGACGAUCCUUAGCUGGUCUGAGAGGAUGAUCAGCCACACUGGGACUGAGACACGGCCCAGACUCCUACGGGAGGCAGCAGUGGGGAAUAUUGGACAAUGGGCGCAAGCCUGAUCCAGCAAUGCCGCGUGAGUGAUGAAGGCCCUCGGGUCGUAAAGCUCUUUUACCAGGGAUGAUAAUGACAGUACCUGGAGAAUAAGCUCCGGCUAACUCCGUG